rnacentral:rRNA from 1 species
AUUGAACGCUGGCGGCAUGCCUUACACAUGCAAGUCGAACGGUAACAGGUCUUCGGAUGCUGACGAGUGGCGAACGGGUGAGUAAUACAUCGGAACGUGCCUAGUAGUGGGGGAUAACUACUCGAAAGAGUGGCUAAUACCGCAUGAGAUCUACGGAUGAAAGCAGGGGAUCGCAAGACCUUGUGCUACUAGAGCGGCCGAUGGCAGAUUAGGUAGUUGGUGGGAUAAAAGCUUACCAAGCCGACGAUCUGUAGCUGGUCUGAGAGGACGAUCAGCCACACUGGGACUGAGACACGGCCCCGCCUCCUACGGGAGGCAGCAGUGGGGAAUUUUGGCCAAUGGGCGCAAGCCUGAUCCAGCAAUGCCGCGUGCAGGAUGAAGGCCUUCGGGUUGUAAACUGCUUUUGUACGGAACGAAAAGCCCUGGGUUAAUACCCUGGGGUCAUGACGGUACCGUAAGAAUAAGCACCGGCUAACUACGUGCCAGCCGCCGCCGUAAGAC